rnacentral:rRNA from 1 species
GUGAACCAGUACCGUGAGGGAAAGGCGAAAAGAACCCCGGCGAGGGGAGUGAAAAAGAACCUGAAACCGUGUACGUACAAGCAGUGGGAGCACGCUUAGGCGUGUGACUGCGUACCUUUUGUAUAAUGGGUCAGCGACUUAUAUUCUGUAGCAAGGUUAACCGAAUAGGGGAGCCGAAGGGAAACCGAGUCUUAACUGGGCGUUAAGUUGCAGGGUAUAGACCCGAAACCCGGUGAUCUAGCCAUGGGCAGGUUGAAGGUUGGGUAACACUAACUGGAGGACCGAACCGACUAAUGUUGAAAAAUUAGCGGAUGACUUGUGGCUGGGGGUGAAAGGCCAAUCAAACCGGGAGAUAGCUGGUUCUCCCCGAAAGCUAUUUAGGUAGCGCCUCGUGAAUUCAUCUCCGGGGGUAGAGCACUGUUUCGGCAAGGGGGUCAUCCCGACUUACCAACCCGAUGCAAACUGCGAAUACCGGAGAAUGUUAUCACGGGAGACACACGGCGGGUGCUAACGUCCGUCGUGAAGAGGGAAACAACCCAGACCGCCAGCUAAGGUCCCAAAGUCAUGGUUAAGUGGGAAACGAUGUGGGAAGGCCCAGACAGCCAGGAUGUUGGCUUAGAAGCAGCCAUCAUUUAAAGAAAGCGUAAUAGCUCACUGGUCGAGUCGGCCUGCGCGGAAGAUGUAACGGGGCUAAACCAUGCACCGAAGCUGCGGCAGCGACGCUUAUGCGUUGUUGGGUAGGGGAGCGUUCUGUAAGCCUGUGAAGGUGUGCUGUGAGGUAUGCUGGAGGUAUCAGAAGUGCGAAUGCUGACAUAAGUAACGAUAAAGCGGGUGAAAAGCCCGCUCGCCGGAAGACCAAGGGUUCCUGUCCAACGUUAAUCGGGGCAGGGUGAGUCGACCCCUAAGGCGAGGCCGAAAGGCGUAGUCGAUGGGAAACAGGUUAAUAUUCCUGUACUUGGUGUUACUGCGAAGGGGGGACGGAGAAGGCUAUGUUGGCCGGGCGACGGUUGUCCCGGUUUAAGCGUGUAGGCUGGUUUUCCAGGCAAAUCCGGAAAAUCAAGGCCGAGGCGUGAUGACGAGGCACUACGGUGCUGAAGCAACAAAUGCCCUGCUUCCAGGAAAAGCCUCUAAGCAUCAGGUAACAUCAAAUCGUACCCCAAACCGACACAGGUGGUCAGGUAGAGAAUACCAAGGCGCUUGAGAGAACUCGGGUGAAGGAACUAGGCAAAAUGGUGCCGUAACUUCGGGAGAAGGCACGCUGAUACGUAGGUGAAGCGACUUGCUCGUGGAGCUGAAAUCAGUCGAAGAUACCAGCUGGCUGCAACUGUUUAUUAAAAACACAGCACUGUGCAAACACGAAAGUGGACGUAUACGGUGUGACGCCUGCCCGGUGCCGGAAGGUUAAUUGAUGGGGUUAGCGCAAGCGAAGCUCUUGAUCGAAGCCCCGGUAAACGGCGGCCGUAACUAUAACGGUCCUAAGGUAGCGAAAUUCCUUGUCGGGUAAGUUCCGACCUGCACGAAUGGCGUAAUGAUGGCCAGGCUGUCUCCACCCGAGACUCAGUGAAAUUGAACUCGCUGUGAAGAUGCAGUGUACCCGCGGCAAGACGGAAAGACCCCGUGAACCUUUACUAUAGCUUGACACUGAACAUUGAGCCUUGAUGUGUAGGAUAGGUGGGAGGCUUUGAAGUGUGGACGCCAGUCUGCAUGGAGCCGACCUUGAAAUACCACCCUUUAAUGUUUGAUGUUCUAACGUGGACCCGUGAUCCGGGUUGCGGACAGUGUCUGGUGGGUAGUUUGACUGGGGCGGUCUCCUCCUAAAGAGUAACGGAGGAGCACGAAGGUUGGCUAAUCCUGGUCGGACAUCAGGAGGUUAGUGCAAUGGCAUAAGCCAGCUUGACUGCGAGCGUGACGGCGCGAGCAGGUGCGAAAGCAGGUCAUAGUGAUCCGGUGGUUCUGAAUGGAAGGGCCAUCGCUCAACGGAUAAAAGGUACUCCGGGGAUAACAGGCUGAUACCGCCCAAGAGUUCAUAUCGACGGCGGUGUUUGGCACCUCGAUGUCGGCUCAUCACAUCCUGGGGCUGAAGUAGGUCCCAAGGGUAUGGCUGUUCGCCAUUUAAAGUGGUACGCGAGCUGGGUUUAGAACGUCGUGAGACAGUUCGGUCCCUAUCUGCCGUGGGCGCUGGAGAACUGAGGGGGGCUGCUCCUAGUACGAGAGGACCGGAGUGGACGCAUCACUGGUGUUCGGGUUGUCAUGCCAAUGGCACUGCCCGGUAGCUAAAUGCGGAAGAGAUAAGUGCUGAAAGCAUCUAAGCACGAAACUUGCCCCGAGAUGAGUUCUCCCUGACCCUUUAAGGGUCCUGAAGGAACGUUGAAGACGACGACGUUGAUAGGCCGGGUGUGUAAGCGCAGCGAUGCGUUGAGCUAACCGGUACUAAUGAACCGUGAGGCUUAACCUU